rnacentral:rRNA from 1 species
UACGGGGGGAGCAAGCGUUGUUCGGAUUUACUGGGCGUAAAGGGCGCGUAGGCGGCCACCGCAAGUCGACUGUGAAAUCUCCGGGCUUAACCCGGAAAGGUCAGCCGAUACUGCGGGGCUAGAGUGCAGAAGGGGCAACUGGAAUUCUCGGUGUAGCGGUGAAAUGCGUAGAUAUCGGGGGGAACACCAGUGGCGAAGGCGGCCGACUGGGCCGAUCCUGACGCUGAGACCCGAAAGCCAGGGUAGCGAACCGG